rnacentral:lncRNA from 1 species
CUGACUGUUCCUGAGGAUAUUGAAGGAAAAUUAACCAUGAUGGAGUCAAGCAUGGAGAAACUGGAAGCUGAUGGCUUCUCCACUGAUCCUGAGGAAAAUCAAGGAAAAUUAGACAUAGCUAGAGUCAUGAACGAAAAUGUAUUACCAAUCGUACAAAAGGAAAAUUUGCAAUCAACUCCUCUGUAUAGAGAUGAAACUUACAAGGCUUUGAAACAAAAAAUUGAGGAAUUGCAAAGGACCGUUAAAUUUCUUGUCAGAAUUCAUCAUCUAGAGCAGUCGCCUUGUUUCUCGGACGCAUCUAGCUCUAGUACCUCGAGCAUGACC